AGGCUAUUAGCUCAGUUGGUUAGAGCGCGCCCCUGAUAAGGGCGAGGUCGCUAGUUCAAAUCUAGUAUAGCCUA
rnacentral:tRNA from 1 species